AUUGAACGCUGGCGGCAUGCCUUGCACAUGCAAGUCGAACGGCAGCACGGGAGCAAUCCUGGUGGCGAGUGGCGAACGGGUGAGUAAUAUAUCGGAACGUGCCCAGUCGUGGGGGAUAACGCAGCGAAAGCUGUGCUAAUACCGCAUACGAUCUAAGGAUGAAAGCGGGGGAUCGCAAGACCUCGCGCGAUUGGAGCGGCCGAUAUCAGAGUAGCUAGUUGGUGGGGUAAAGGCCCACCAAGGCGACGAUCUGUAGCUGGUCUGAGAGGACGACCAGCCACACUGGAACUGAGACACGGUCCAGACUCCUACGGGAGGCAGCAGUGGGGAAUUUUGGACAAUGGGCGCAAGCCUGAUCCAGCAAUGCCGCGUGCAGGAUGAAGGCCUUCGGGUUGUAAACUGCUUUUGUACGGAACGAAACGGCCCUUUCUAAUACAGGGGGCUAAUGACGGUACCGUAAGAAUAAGCACCGGCUAACUACGUGCCAGCCGCCGCCGUAA
rnacentral:rRNA from 1 species